CCUGGCUCCGUAUGGCGCUAGCUACAGGCUUAACACAUGCAAGUCGAGGGGCAGCAUGGUCUUAGCUUGCUAAGGCCGAUGGCGACCGGCGCACGGGUGAGUAACACGUAUCCAACCUGCCGUCUACUCUUGGACAGCCUUCUGAAAGGAAGAUUAAUACAAGAUGGCAUCAUGAGUCCGCAUGUUCACAUGAUUAAAGGUAUUCCGGUAGACGAUGGGGAUGCGUUCCAUUAGAUAGUAGGCGGGGUAACGGCCCACCUAGUCUUCGAUGGAUAGGGGUUCUGAGAGGAAGGUCCCCCACAUUGGAACUGAGACACGGUCCAAACUCCUACGGGAGGCAGCAGUGAGGAAUAUUGGUCAAUGGGCGAGAGCCUGAACCAGCCAAGUAGCGUGAAGGAUGACUGCCCUAUGGGUUGUAAACUUCUUUUAUAAAGGAAUAAAGUCGGGUAUGGAUACCCGUUUGCAUGUACUUUAUGAAUAAGGAUCGGCUAACUCCGUGCCAGCAGCCGCGGUAAUACGGAGGAUCCGAGCGUUAUCCGGAUUUAUUGGGUUUAAAGGGAGCGUAGAUGGAUGUUUAAGUCAGUUGUGAAAGUUUGCGGCUCAACCGUAAAAUUGCAGUUGAUACUGGAUAUCUUGAGUGCAGUUGAGGCAGGCGGAAUUCGUGGUGUAGCGGUGAAAUGCUUAGAUAUCACGAAGAACUCCGAUUGCGAAGGCAGCCUGCUAAGCUGCAACUGACAUUGAGGCUCGAAAGUGUGGGUAUCAAACAGGAUUAGAUACCCUGGUAGUCCACACGGUAAACGAUGAAUACUCGCUGUUUGCGAUAUACGGCAAGCGGCCAAGCGAAAGCGUUAAGUAUUCCACCUGGGGAGUACGCCGGCAACGGUGAAACUCAAAGGAAUUGACGGGGGCCCGCACAAGCGGAGGAACAUGUGGUUUAAUUCGAUGAUACGCGAGGAACCUUACCCGGGCUUAAAUUGCAGAUGAAUUACGGUGAAAGCCGUAAGCCGCAAGGCAUCUGUGAAGGUGCUGCAUGGUUGUCGUCAGCUCGUGCCGUGAGGUGUCGGCUUAAGUGUCAUAACGAGCGCAACCCUUGUUGUCAGUUACUAACAGGUUCCGCUGAGGACUCUGACAAGACUGCCAUCGUAAGAUGUGAGGAAGGUGGGGAUGACGUCAAAUCAGCACGGCCCUUACGUCCGGGGCUACACACGUGUUACAAUGGGGGGUACAGAGGGCCGCUACCACGCGAGUGGAUGCCAAUCCCCAAAACCUCUCUCAGUUCGGACUGGAGUCUGCAACCCGACUCCACGAAGCUGGAUUCGCUAGUAAUCGCGCAUCAGCCACGGCGCGGUGAAUACGUUCCCGGGCCUUGCACACACCGCCCG
rnacentral:rRNA from 1 species